rnacentral:rRNA from 1 species
UACGGAGGGUGCAAGCGUUAUCCGGAUUCACUGGGGUUAAAGGGUGCGUAGGAGGGCAGGUAAGUCAGUGGUGAAAUCCUAGGGCUUAACCCUAGAACUGCCGUUGAUACUCUCUGUCUUGAAUACCGUGGAGGUGAGCGGAAUAUGUCAUGUAGCGGUGAAAUGCUUAGAUAUGACAUAGAACACCGAUUGCGAAGGCAGCUCACUACACGAACAUUGACUCUGAGGCACGAAAGCGUGGGGAUCAAACAGG